CACCCCACCCCACCGCCGUCGCCCCCUUCCUCAAUCGCCACACGCCGUUCUGCUCCUUGCCACCACCAAUCCCCGCCGCACGAAGCCGUCCCGUCGCCAGGAUGCCGUCGACGCCUUCCGGGGUGAUCUGCUCCUCACUGCCACCGAUCCUUUCUCGGUCCAACGGCGCGGCUGAGGCUGUGGAAUCUAGCAAUCGAUCCGUAUUCUUUUAAACUAUGCUACUGUAUGUGUGCAGGUGGUUAUUGAUCUCCGCGCCUUGGCCUACAGCAAUGGACAACGCUGUUGGGAUCCCUAAACUCAUGAUUUGUCUGUAAUAACAGGUUGAAUCAACUAAUUUUCUGACAGUAGAUGUGCUGACGUUCCUAUAUUGCAGUUGAAUUUAACUUCAGAAUAUUGCUGCUAGCUUCCGGCCUCCUCAACAUCAGAUCAGUGUUUCAG